UGUUCUAAUCAUUUCCAAUUCUCUUUUCAGCAAUGAAAGUCAGUUUGGGCAGGCCGGUGAAGGUAAAUAACUUCCUAAUCACUCUAAACAUAACGCUUAUUGCAAAUAGAAAUCUUAAGAAGAUGGAGGCUUGUGAUGUGGAGGCCAUCAAGAAAAUCUCAACUGCGUCUUCUAACAAGGCUGCCAUUGAUGCUUAUGAGAAAGAAAUGGAUUCGAGGUACAGUAAUGCCUGAUAUUACUCAGAUUGCUGCUGUGCAUUUGAAGACGGGUUUUAAGUUCUCGGCAUAUGUGAAGACAACAGUCCCAAUUUCUUCCGAAGCUCAGAAAGUGAUUGGCAUCUAUGUUGAUGAUCAUGGCAUAAUGCGUGUAAAUGGUGGAAGUGUUGAUAGUGUAUCAAUUAAAACUUCUCUACAUGAUUGUAUGAUGUGGCAUGCAAAGUUUCCCAGAGCCAGUUUUGUUGCUCAUAAUGGGCGCAGGUUUGAUUUUCCGGUUUUGGUUAGUGCAUUGCUGAACACACACUGUUUUGAAACGUUUUGUAAUUGUGUAAGCAGUUUUGUUGACUCUUUGCCUGUUUUCAAAAAUCGUAUCCUGGACAGUCACACAAACAGGAAGAUCUAGUGAACGUGUUCUCCAGGCAACCUGCAACGCCCACAGUGCUCCUGAUGAUGUUGAAGCGCUGGGAUCUUUGCUUAAAACAUGUAAAAUUACUGACAAUAUGGCCCACAUCGUUACUGUUACUGCAAUCCAUAAUUCAGUUUGGUUAAGUCACGAAAAGCCAAAGAACAUUAGAUUGUAAGACGUGCUGUUGCAUAGAGGAACUCUAAAGCGACCAACAGCUGAAAACAUUGCGGGAUAUUGACUGGCCUUAUGUCAUUUGAAAGCCAUAUUUUCUAGUUCCGGAGAGGAUGACUUUAGGGAUACUUUCAUUGCUAAACACAAUUAGGGACUACCAAAAGUCGCAAUCGCAAAAAAAUGUUUUAUCUGAAGUGGUCCCUAAAAUCGGUCAGUUUUUCCGUGACGAAAAGUGACGGAACGAGAUAAUAUGGCUUUCAAAUGACACGCGGCCUGUCAAAAUCACGCAAUGGCUUUAUACUGACACUAAAUUAUGUAAAUCUAGUUGUCAUUAAUCUAGCUGUUUUUAUUAAAAUAUAAGUUGUAUAUUAUUGUGCAACAUGUUUAAAGAAACAUGAUAACUUAUACAUCUUUAUGCUACGUAAUAUUGGGACAACUUUGACAUUUUGUGGUGAACUGCGUCUGUAUUCAUAUGUUGCCCUUUGACUUUCAUAUGUACAUGCACCUUGAUAAGUUCUACACGCCACACCCAUUUUUGGGUCACUAGGUCAAAGGUCAAGGUCACUGUGACCUCUAAUAUAAAACUUUAACAUUACCUCUAACAUCAUAGUGCUUCCACCUACAACUUUGAAACUUCAUACGUACAUGCACCUUGAUGAGUUCUACAUGCCACACCCAUUUUUGGGUCACUAGGUCAAAGGUCAAGGUCACUGUGACCUCUAAUAUAAAACUUUAACUUUGCCUCUAACAUCACAUUACUUCCCACUACAACUUUGAAACUAAAUAUGUAGAUGCACCUUGAUGAGUUCUACACGCCACACCCAUUUUGGGUCACUAGGUCAAAGGUCAAGGUCACUGUGACCUCUAAAAAAAAUAAUCUGACAAGCUUUCGCAGCCGAGCGUUGCACCCGUUAUGCGGUGCUUUUGUAAAUGUAUUAUUAUAUCAAUAUUAAUUCAAAGUUAGCUAAAUUUCUUCGCAUGUCAUGGUUUAUAUAUAUCUGUAGCUUUUAAUAAGCAACUAGAAAACCCCCAAAAAGAAGUGAUAUACAAAUUUAUACUUAAAUUCAUUGCGUGAAAAUGAAUUGGGGUAGGCAUACUCAAAGUAAAAUUUCUUGAGAUAGGAACGGUAAAACGUCCUGAAAUUCAUUCAGUGUGUAGAAAAUAUGUUUUGUUAAAUCAAUAUGUACAAUAUAUGCAUUUCAUCACACUACAAGUGACAUAAAACGUAAUUAAAAUUUCUUGUCACUGAA